AUAUAUGCCCGUAGAUACUUCUCUCCCCUCAAAUAUUUGUAUCUCAAAAAAGGAGGUGCAAGAGUAUAUAAAGAUAAAUUUUCUUGUUGUUAUAGUACAAACACCAUGU